GAACAUGCUUAGAGUUUGCUCAUUUCAAAGUAUUGAUCAAGGAGAAACUGCAGAUGAAGAAGACUAUGUGGUAGUCAACAAAUCCUAAAUUGUUUUUAGUAGAAUCAGUUGAAGGGAGAAUGUUAAGAGUUAUUUAGUUAUGUUUGAUUAAGUUUUAAUUAAAUAAAGCUGACUUGGUAACUCAGAGUCCAAGUCAAGUAGGAUUCCUAGUUUUUGGGAGUCCUGGUUGAGGUUGUGCACCACAGUUAGAAGUUUAGAAGUGUUCCGUUGCCUUCGUUUAGUUCCACAAAAUCUGGACAAGUUGAGUUUAUGUUUAACGUGCAGCCUAGAUCAAUUCUAUUUAAGUUGUAAUCCUGUUUCAUUCAGGAAUGAGUAUUUUCCAGUUUGUUAGUUCAAUAGCUUCAAGCUUUCAGUUAUUUUUGAGUUCUA
rnacentral:lncRNA from 1 species